GAUGAACGCUAGCGGCAGGCCUAAUACAUGCAAGUCGAACGAGAUUAAGAGGCUUGCUUCUUAUGAAAGUGGCGCACGGGUGCGUAACGCGUAUGCAACCUACCUUAAUCAGGGGGAUAGCCCGAAGAAAUUCGGAUUAAGACCGCAUAAAAACACAGGAUAGCAUUAUCCAAUGUUCAAAUAUUUAUAGGAUUAAGAUGGGCAUGCGUGUCAUUAGCUAGUUGGCGGGGUAACGGCCCACCAAGGCGACGAUGACUAGGGGAUCUGAGAGGAUGACCCCCCACACUGGUACUGAGACACGGACCAGACUCCUACGGGAGGCAGCAGUAAGGAAUAUUGGUCAAUGGAGGGAACUCUGAACCAGCCAUGCCGCGUGCAGGAAGACAGCCCUCUGGGUCGUAAACUGCUUUUAUUCAGGAAUAAACCUUUCUACGUGUAGGAAGCUGAAUGUACCGAAGGAAUAAGGAUCGGCUAACUCCGUG
rnacentral:rRNA from 1 species